UACGUAGGGUGCAAGCGUUGUCCGGAAUUAUUGGGCGUAAAGAGCUCGUAGGCGGUUUGUCGCGUCUGCUGUGAAAACUCGGGGCUUAACCCCGGGCCUGCAGUGGGUACGGGCAGACUAGAGUGCGGUAGGGGGAGACUGGAAUUCCUGGUGUAGCGGUGAAAUGCGCAGAUAUCAGGAGGAACACCGGUGGCGAAGGCGGGUCUCUGGGCCGUAACUGACGCUGAGGAGCGAAAGCAUGGGGAGCGAACAGG
rnacentral:rRNA from 1 species